AUUGAACGCUGGCGGAAUGCUUUACACAUGCAAGUCGAACGGCAGCACGAGAGCUUGCUCUUGGUGGCGAGUGGCGAACGGGUGAGUAAUAUAUCGGAACGUAUCCAAUAAUGGGGGAUAACUAAUCGAAAGGUUAGCUAAUACCGCAUACGCCUACGGGGAAAGCAGGGGAUCUUCGGACCUUGCGUUAAUGGAGCGGCUGAUAUCUGAUUAGCUAGUAGGUGAGGUAAAGGCUCACCUAGGCUUCGAUCAGUAGCUGGUCUGAGAGGACGACCAGCCACACUGGAACUGAGACACGGUCCAGACUCCUACGGGAGGCAGCAGUGGGGAAUUUUGGACAAUGGGCGCAAGCCUGAUCCAGCCAUUCCGCGUGAGUGAAGAAGGCCUUCGGGUUGUAAAGCUCUUCGUCAAGGGAAGAAACGAUACCGACGAAUAAU
rnacentral:rRNA from 1 species